AAUUCGAUUAGAGUUUGAUCCUGGCUCAGAUUGCAUACUGCUGGCGGCAUGCCUUACACAUGCAAGUCGAACGGCAGCACGGGAGCUUGCUCCUGGUGGCGAGUGGCGAACGGGUGAGUAAUACAUCGGAACGUACCCAGGAGUGGGGGAUAACGUAGCGAAAGUUACGCUAAUACCGCAUAUUCUGUGAGCAGGAAAGCGGGGGAUCGCAAGACCUCGCGCUCUUGGAGCGGCCGAUGUCGGAUUAGCUAGUUGGUGAGGUAAAAGCUCACCAAGGCGACGAUCCGUAGCAGGUCUGAGAGGAUGAUCUGCCACACUGGGACUGAGACACGGCCCAGACUCCUACGGGAGGCAGCAGUGGGGAAUUUUGGACAAUGGGGGCAACCCUGAUCCAGCCAUGCCGCGUGAGUGAAGAAGGCCUUCGGGUUGUAAAGCUCUUUCGGCGGGGAAGAAAUGGCAACGGCUAAUAUCCGUUGUUGAUGACGGUACCCGCAUAAGAAGCACCGGCUAACUACGUGCCAGCAGCCGCGGUAAUACGUAGGGUGCGAGCGUUAAUCGGAAUUACUGGGCGUAAAGCGUGCGCAGGCGGUUUCGUAAGACAGACGUGAAAUCCCCGGGCUCAACCUGGGAACUGCGUUUGUGACUGCGAGGCUAGAGUACGGCAGAGGGGGGUAGAAUUCCACGUGUAGCAGUGAAAUGCGUAGAGAUGUGGAGGAAUACCGAUGGCGAAGGCAGCCCCCUGGGUUAGUACUG
rnacentral:rRNA from 1 species